GAUGCCUUGGCGAUUACAGGCGAUGAAGGACGUAGUAGCUUGCGAUAAGCUGCGGGGAGCUAGCAAACGAGCUUUGAUCCGCAGAUGUCCGAAUGGGGAAACCCGGCCCGCAAGGGUCAUCGCAUACUGAAUACAUAGGUAUGCGAAGCGAACGCGGCGAACUGAAACAUCUAAGUAGCUGCAGGAAAAGAAAUCAACCGAGAUUCCCAGAGUAGUGGCGAGCGAAAUGGGACCAGCCUGCAAGAUUUAGCAGUCGUGAUAGUGGAACGCCCUGGAAAUGGC
rnacentral:rRNA from 1 species